rnacentral:lncRNA from 1 species
GCAGGGAGCAGAAUUUGCUCCGGGCACUGGGGCAGUCCACGAGGGCUCCUGGAUCCGCGGGCCCCGCUCCCUACCUGCCGGGCUCUGGGCCAAGGAGGCGCGGCCGGAGUCCCUGAAGACCCAGGGCAGCCGGCCAAGGGCCCUGCGAGGAGCUGGAUGGCGCGGACGGCGCGACCUCCCCGCGCGGCCGUCACCCGGGGACGGUGGCGAGCGCGGCGGGAGGAAGAAUCUUCUCCGCGAGCCGGGAGAAGAGGCGCCCUCGGCCCAGGCCCAGGGCACCAGUGCAGCCUGAACACAAUAUUCUAAAUCUUGCUGUCUCAGCAUCAUUAUGCAUCAUUUUCAAGCUUUUCUAAAGGAAGAAAAGUGUGCCGAUGUUCACUUAUAAAGCAGU